AUGAAGGAGGUGUUCUUCCGUUACAAUACUCCUGACGUGUUCCAUGAAAUGUCUAUGAGCUGGAACAUGUAUAUCCUUUCAAGUUCACUGAUGCGGUUACCACUACAACACACGUCCCUCCAAGGACCAAGGGUGGGCAUGAUCUUCUACAAGUUUUCGGUGAUGUACGUCGUGAAGCGGGACGGGCGGACGGAGACGGUGCACUUUGACAAGAUCACGGUGCGGCUCAAGAAGCUCAGCAAUGGGCUCAGCCAGGAGCACCGCAACCCCGUGCUCGGUCUGCGUCAGGGUAUACAUGGGCGUCACCACCAGCCAGCUCACCACCGAGACCGCCGCCGCGCUCACCGCCUCCCAGCCUGA
rnacentral:rRNA from 1 species